CACUCUGUUUUCCUCUUCUCCAUUGCUUGUGCUCGUGUUUCCACUUGAAAUUCAAGCCUGUAAUUGUCCAAAAUCCUUGCUUAACUCGCCCAAAUAGCUCCUCCAUCAAUUGGCAUGCUUGAAUCGAUUCAUAAGCUGAUAAAAACAUGUAAACUUGCCACAAAAUGGUUAAAACCAAUUACUAAGGACCUUAAUGAAUUAAUUGGGUUAAAU
rnacentral:lncRNA from 1 species